GCUCGUGGAUCGAUGAAGACCGCAGCUAAAUGCGCGUCAGAAUGUGAACUGCAGGACACAUGAACACCGACAAGUUGAACGCAUAUUGCACAUCGUACAACAGUACGAUGUACACAUUUUUGAGUGCCUAUACUUAUCGAUUUAACUAUGCGCGGGGCGGCGUGUGUGUGUGUGGGUGCGCGGUGUUGUGCGCGCGUUCGAGUCGCCGGCGCGCGAUGUUUGGACAUGCGGGUACACGGCCACACCGUACGCGCCCUUCACACGCCCUGUGCGCAUGCGCAGUGAUGUUUUCCCAGUGAUGGUAAAACAUUGAAGAUAGUCAGACGCGCGCGCGACGCGCGGUUGAUGAGAGUACAAUCCCAUACUCCAGCUUGGCUUGGAUACGUUGUACUUACUCGUUGACAGACGACAGACAGGGUAUAUAUAUAUAGUAGGCCUCAAAUAAUGUGUGACUACCCCCUAAAUUUAAGCA
rnacentral:rRNA from 1 species